AUUGAACGCUGGCGGCGGGCCUAACACAUGCAAGUCGAACGAGUGGCGGACGGGUGAGUAAUGUCUGGGAAACUGCCUGAUGGAGGGGGAUAACUACUGGAAACGGUAGCUAAUACCGCAUACCAUCAGAUGUGCCCAUAUGGGAUUAGCUUGUUGGUGGGGUAGCGGCUCACCAAGGCGAAGAUCCCUAGCUGGUCUGAGAGGAUGACCAGCCAAACUGGAACGGAGACACGGUCCAGACUCCGACGGGAGGCAGCAUGGGGGAAUAUUGCACAAUGGGCGCAAGCCUGAGGCAGCCAUGCCGCGUGGAUGAAGAAGGCCUGCGGGUUGUAAAGUACUUUCAGCGGGGAGGCGUUACCCGCAGAAGAAGCACCGGCUAACGCCGUGCCAGCAGCCGCGGUAAUUC
rnacentral:rRNA from 1 species